rnacentral:ncRNA from 1 species
CUAAAAGUAAGCAAGGGCGCAUGGCGGAUGCCUUGGCUCUCGGAGGCGAUGAAGGACGUGAUAAGCUGCGAUAAGCUGCGGGUAGGUGCAAAUGACCUUUGAUCCGCGGAUUUCCGAAUGGGACAACCCGGUAUGUUGAAGACGUAUCAUCCAUCUUAGAUGGAGGCUAACACAGGGAACUGAAACAUCUUAGUACCUGUAGGAAAAGAAAAUAAAUAAUGAUUCCCCUAGUAGUGGCGAGCGAACGGGGAAUAGCCCAAACCAUUUAUGUUACGGCAUAAAUGGGGUUGUAGGACCACGUUGUGGGAAGACAGUUAGUGAGUAGAAUGAUCUGGAAAGUUCAGUCAUAGACGGUGAUAACCC